rnacentral:rRNA from 1 species
UACGUAGGGGGCAAGCGUUGUCCGGAUUUAUUGGGCGUAAAGAGCGUGUAGGCGGCCUGAAAGGUCAGCUGUGAAAACUCGAGGCUCAACCUCGAGACGUCGGUUGAAACCAUCUGGCUAGAGUCCGGAAGAGGAGAGUGGAAUUCCCGGUGUAGCGGUGAAAUGCGCAGAUAUCGGGAAGAACACCCGUGGCGAAGGCGGCUCUCUGGGACGGUACUGACG